rnacentral:lncRNA from 1 species
GGUCUCUCGCUGAGCCAUACUCACCCGGGAGAGCAGGAAUGCGGCGGAGACUUGGUAGCGGCCACCGAGCCAAUUCGGUGGGAAGACCGGGGGACUUUCCGCGGGGCAGGGGCGGUGGCUCAGCUCCGGGGGUGCUAGGCCGACUCUCUAGCGUGUUGGCGGGCCCGCGUCGCUUUUAUGCGUGAUGCCGGGGACCCCCUUGUACCGCUCUCGGCGGCGCAUCUCCCAGAGCCCUUCAAGGAGCUCGCGCGUCCCCGAGCGACUCCCGGACACCUGGCAGAUUCGAAACUUCAGCCACUAGAUGCUUUCCUGGACUCCCUAAAUACUUAAUCAUUAGGCAAGGCAAUGGUUUGCAAGGGGGAGCAAAAGUUAUAAAAAGAAAAAGGGAAAGGCCUGGAAGCGAAGCGGGCAAGGGAAGAAGCUUGGGCAGAGUAUUCGAGAUGCGUCCAGGCUGCACGGUGCAGGGGUCGGGUGCAUCUUAGAACAGGUGGCUCCCCCAGCGUGAGGCUACUGUGAACGGCGCUGAAGAGCAGUAUUCAUACUGUGUGCUGCUGAUUUAAUAUAUCAACAUGCAGAGUUGUGUAAGUGAGAAAAGCGACUUGCAUAAUAUAUAUGGUGAUUUUAAAGGGUGUGUGUGUGUAUGUGUGAUACACACACCAAACUGGCUGCGGCUGGGGAGUGAGACUGAGUAGCUAGACAGGUAGGUAGCCUUUUAUUCUUUACUUGAGGCACAUAUGUAUGCUUGAUAUUUUUUUUCUUAAAUGAGCUUGUAUUACUUCUAUAAAUAACUUCAAAAGGCAGAGUUGUGCCUCAUAUUGCAGGUUAAGCACUGUUCCCCAAUCUAACUAUAUAAACCACCCUUCAUGGCGAGUAUUUUCACUUACUUUCAAGAGAAAGGUGAAAGAAGAGACAAAUGCACCGGACCAAAUGCCAGGAAGAUAAAUUUAAAGUGGAAUGAAGAAAGAGCUGUAUGUGAGUGAAUGCCUGGGACAGGCCCCCCAGUGUUAGCUGUGAGCCUGUGCUGCACCCUCUCUGGUGAACCCGGUCUUCGUGUCCAGGAACCCCUGGCACAAAAAGUAGCAGCUCCUGUUAGGGGCAUUGGUCACCUCCUUGGGGGAGUGUGUCCUUCUUUUCUCUGCUAAUGUGUUACCUUCAGUAGCGACAAUAUAAACAGAGAAUUUAUGCAUAUCCAUGUUCCUGGCGUUUCUACCUGACUUUCCUCCAACCUAGUCAUUCUUAGCCUGGGAUACACAACCCCCAUCCACCCAGGAAUAUAGAGAUAGAAUUCAGGGGUGCUAUGAAUUUGGAUGGAGAAAAAUUACAUCUUUACUUCCACUAACCUUUCAUCUAAGCAUAGCGUUUCCUUUAUUUAUGAAUGUGGGUAAUAAACUGUAGUAGUAUUAGCCGUGGUGGUGAAUUUGUCACCAAUAGAAAUCAUAGAUGCAUGCAUUUCAUGUCACAGAUGUUGCAGAUCUUUUGAAAACAUCAUUUACAUACCACUUUUUAGAGAUUAUCGUAAUAAGUCUAGUUAUUUAAUGUGUUAAAUAUGAAGCACAUGUAUUGCUAUAUUGUAUUUUAAGUUAUUUUAAUAACUACUAAAUAUAGUUGGUUGUUUUCUGUG